GAUAAAUUUAAUUUGAAACACCCUGUAUACAUGUAUUUUUCGCAACGACCGUCAUGACGGAUAAAAGCAAAAGCUUCAUUUUAUUCAUACGUCCCAGUAGGAAAGCUAUAAAACUGUACAGAGAUGGUGCACGAAAGAUUAAGAUUAAGAUCUAGACUAAAGCGUUGGGAACGGAAAGCGGCGCGAAACUCGGUGCAUCGCUAAGGGAGAGGGGUAGAUCAUGCGCUCUGCAUUCACACAUUGGUCGGCACGAAGGGUGGCGGAUUUCCCAACCCUUGUCAGUUUGACGCCGCGUGCGAGCGUAUACAGAUCUGUCGUGACCGUUGACUCGCGAGAGAGAAAGAGAAAAAGAGGAGGAAAGAGAGAGAGAAGGAAGGAGAGAAAGAGAGAGGCAAAAACAAAAAAAGAGUUCGUUGUUUUUCUAGGAAAUUGUUGUAAAAUGACGACAGGCAGGACGAGUCUGACAGACACUCGAUUCAUCGAUCCGACUUGAAAUCGAUAAUUCUAACAAAUUUUCGACAAAUCAAAAAGCGCGAAAGAAAAAUAUACAAACAUAUUCAUCAAAAGUUAUAUAGUUAAUAUAAAGUAAGGUAAAUUGCAUGCAGUUUUUAGGAAACGAGAGAAUACACAAAAGAUGCACAGUUUUUUAAUUCGUGCGAUUGAAAGGAUGUAUAGUUAUGUAUAUUAAUUCGAUUAUCGUCGAUGUAUAAUUAAUUCGAUCAUAUUAAUUUUGAACGUUUAUGAUAGAUCAGAGAUUGCGAAUGAUUCACGUAUAAUUGUUUGGAAACUAUUAAUAAUGCAGAUUUAACGUGAAAUUGAAUUCGAAGUUAUAUUGUUGAAUCGAGAUAACUGUAAACCAGCGUCACGUAUUUAAUUUUUGAGAUUUUCGCUAUUCAUAUUUGAUUAAAAAAUAUACGCGAGGCGAUGCAACACUUUGUGUGAUCGAAAAAAGAGCUUAAUCGCCCUGGAUAUUGCUAGAAUUAAAUGCGCUUUAAAAUGAUUUUUUAUUCCGAAGGGAAACGUAUUAUUGUGAAUUGAUUUUUUAAAUCAAUCUAUAAUAAAAAUCGGACAGCAGAUUAUCAGGAAAUUCAUGUUAAUCUUUUUUGGUGCUGUGAAAGAAUUAUAAAAAUAUUUUUUUUUCUGUUAUUUGUCUUUUUAAUUGCAGAACAAGAUAAACUAUUAGAAUAAAAUGACGACACACGCAUAUGGAUAAAUUUGUCACGUGCCAAUUUUUCGUUGAAACGCGCUAUCAAAUGAUGUGAAUGUGCCAUAAUCUAUGAUAACGUGCAUGUGAAUUACGAACGCGGGAACAAGUUAGGACUGUUUUAUCGCUGAGUGAAAAUCUCAAUUAAUUGCAAUUACCUGUGAAAUUGCUGUCGGAAUUAAUGAAGAAAUACUUUUUAUUCUCGCUCUCUGAAUUGCGGAAGAUAACGAUCGUGUGAUAAUUACGUACAAUGAAACUGUCAGUUAUGAUGAUACAGCCGAACCAAGAGAUUACUUCAAUAGAUCAAAUCGAUGUAAUAUUCCCGAGAAAUUGACCAAGGGUUUUUAUCUUUGAAUAUUUUUCACGAUAUUCGCCAAUUCUCGAUUAUCUCCAGUAAUGCAUUUGCGUCGAGAUUAGAUUUUUGCAAAAUUUUGAUUCAUAAGUCGCUCAAAAAUAACUGUGUGGAAAUCGAACUAUUGCAAGAGAGAGAAGGAUCUUGAUUAAUUUAUCUCGUGCGUAAAAACAUUUCACACAUGAUCUGAUCCCAAGAGCAUCCGCAUCGAAAACAGAUCACCGACAGAUCGAUUUGCCGCGAAGGGACUCAUCGUCGAAGAGCAGUGAUUGCGAGCGUGUCUAUCAUUAGCAAAAAAAAAAAAAAAAAAAAAA